AACAAUAGAUCGAAAGAGAAACAAAACAAGAUCUCGGCGAAAACGAGAUCGAACAAAGCAAAACGAAAAGAACAAGAAUAGAUCGAACAUAAAUGGAACGAAAACAAAAAAAUCUCGCCGGAACAAAACAAAACACGACAGAAGUUCACCGGAAAAGAGCUCCGGGAACCCAAAACUCGAACCCACAGGAAAAAACACGCAAACCGACGCCGGCGACGUGGUGGCUACAUCGU
rnacentral:lncRNA from 1 species